AUUCACUGAACCAUUCAAAUGAGUCAUUUGUUUGUAAGUCAAACUGAGCACGCUAUAGUAGCAUUACACCUGCUAAGAUAAUUCAAUAUGUGCAAUCUGAAUUUAAUAAUAAUAUUUAUUUUGUGGUAACACUGCCGUGUGGGCAGCUCUGACAGAGAAAAACACUAUAGAUACGUAAGAGAAAGCCGUAAAAUGUAAGUGCAUCAUCUUUUGUUCUUGAAUGGAGGCCUAAUCUGUCUGCUGCACUUCAGCAGGUUCAGUUUUUAGAGUGAAUGAAAACUUCUGAAGCAUAGAUAUGCCGUGUGAUGUGAUUAAAAUCAUACUUAUUUUACUGUGGUGGGGAUUAUUAUGAGCAAACAAAUUUAAAAGUUUAAUCUGAACACUAUAUAUAUGUAAUCUGACAUUUAUUUAUUUUAUUUUUUUACAGAAAUUCUGAGCUGCUGCAUGAACAUUCAUCAAACAUAUAAGGCUGCAAUUUGGAAAAAAACUUUCAAGCUAAUGCUGCUGAAAUGGAGGUCAAGGGGACUAUGAAGAGGUGGCUCCAGCUGAUCAAAAGUGAGUACUUCAGGAGGCAGACACACUCUGUUACAAUAAUCAGCUGAUCCAGACCAGACGGUGGACCUGCACCAGGAACGACCACAACACAUCCCUGACUGUCAGCGGAGACCAUGUCAGCUAGAGGACCUCACUGAUGGCCUCAGCACAGAUCCUCAGCAAAGACUACGAGAACCAGACAAGCCCUCUGCGCAGACCCUUUUACCAGCUUCACCUGCUGGCGUGAUGUUUCCUCAUGCAGAAGAAGUUGGACGAAAUAUUCUGAAUGAUAUCAAUCCACAAUCUGACUUGUGAUGCAGCCUGGA